AUUGAACGCUGGCGGCAGGCCUAACACAUGCAAGUCGAACGGUAACAGGAAGAAGCUUGCUUCUUUGCUGACGAGUGGCGGACGGGUGAGUAAUGUCUGGGAAACUGCCUGAUGGAGGGGGAUAACUACUGGAAACGGUAGCUAAUACCGCAUAACGUCGCAAGACCAAAGAGGGGGACCUUCGGGCCUCUUGCCAUCGGAUGUGCCCGGAUGGGAUUAGCUAGUAGGUGGGGUAACGGCUCACCUAGGCGACGAUCCCUAGCUGGUCUGAGAGGAUGACCAGCCACACUGGAACUGAGACACGGUCCAGACUCCUACGGGAGGCAGCAGUGGGGAAUAUUGCACAAUGGGCGCAAGCCUGAUGCAGCCAUGCCGCGUGUAUGAAGAAGGCCUUCGGGUUGUAAAGUACUUUCAGCGGGGAGGAAGGGAGUAAAGUUAAUACCUUUGCUCAUUGACGUUACCCGCAGAAGAAGCACCGGCUAACUCCGUG
rnacentral:rRNA from 1 species